rnacentral:rRNA from 1 species
GGAGGAAAGCAGGGGAUCGUAAGACCUUGCGUUAUUCGAGCGGCCGACGUCUGAUUAGCUAGUAGGUGAGGUAAAGGCUCACCUAGGCGACGAUCAGUAGCGGGUCUGAGAGGAUGAUCCGCCACACUGGGACUGAGACACGGCCCAGACUCCUACGGGAGGCAGCAGUGGGGAAUUUUGGACAAUGGGCGCAAGCCUGAUCCAGCCAUGCCGCGUGUCUGAAGAAGGCCUUCGGGUUGUAAAGGACUUUUGUCAGGGAGGAAAUCCCUAGCGCUAAUAUCGCUGGGGGAUGACAGUACCUGAAGAAUAAGCACCGGCUAACUACGUGCCAGCAGCCGCGGUAAUACGUAGGGUGCAAGCGUUAAUCGGAAUUACUGGGCGUAAAGCGUGCGCAGGCGGUUAGAUAAGCCAGAUGAGGAAUCCCCGAGCUCAACUUGGGAACUGCGUUUGAUUAACGGAGCUAGAAGGGC